AUGUUUAUGAACUUAUGCAGCUCCUUCAACUUGAGAAAGAUUGAGAAGUAUUUCCUACAGUAACAAAAGUGGCAAAAAUAGCUGCAACUGCUACAGCUUGCUUCCUUCAGAGAAAAGAGAAAAAUAACAGAUUUCAAGGAAGGAACAGCACCAAGGAAAAGAAGGAAGACAAUAAAGAAAUUUUUGCCAGAAAAUCCCUCUCAUUAUUGAUGUUGAGAACACAAUGCCAUUCUAUCCAUCAUCAGCUAUUGGAUCCAACUGAAUCUAAUG